CUACGGGAGGCAGCAGUGAGGAAUAUUGGGCAAUGGGGGAAACCCUGACCCAGCAAUGCCGCGUGCGGGAAGACGCCUUUCGGGGUGUAAACCUCUUUCAGCAGGGACGAAGCGAAAGUGACUGUACCUGCAGAAGAAGCACCGGCUAACUACGUGCCAGCAGCCGCGGUAAUACGUAGGGUGCAAGCGUUGUCCGGAUUUAUUGGGCGUAAAGAGCUCGUAGGCGGUCUGUCGCGUCGGAUGUGAAAACCCAAUGGCUUAACCUUGGGCCUGCAUUCGAUACGGGCAGACUAGAGUGUGGUAGGGGAAACUGGAACUCCUGGUGUAGCGGUGGAAUGCGCAGAUAUCAGGAAGAACACCGAUGGCGAAGGCAGGUUUCUGGGCCAUAACUGACGCUGAGGAGCGAAAGCGUGGGGAGCAAACAGGAUUAGAUACCCUAGUAGUCC
rnacentral:rRNA from 1 species